rnacentral:rRNA from 1 species
AUUGAACGCUGGCGGCAGGCCUAACACAUGCAAGUCGAACGGUAACAGGAAGAAGCUUGCUUCUUUGCUGACGAGUGGCGGACGGGUGAGUAAUGUCUGGGAAACUGCCUGAUGGAGGGGGAUAACUACUGGAAACGGUAGCUAAUACCGCAUAACGUCGCAAGACCAAAGAGGGGGACCUUCGGGCCUCUUGCCAUCGGAUGUGCCCAGAUGGGAUUAGCUAGUAGGUGGGGUAACGGCUCACCUAGGCGACGAUCCCUAGCUGGUCUGAGAGGAUGACCAGCCACACUGGAACUGAGACACGGUCCAGACUCCUACGGGAGGCAGCAGUGGGGAAUAUUGCACAAUGGGCGCAAGCCUGAUGCAGCCAGGCCGCGUGUAUGAAGAAGGCCUUCGGGUUGUAAAGUACUUUCAGCGGGGAGGAAGGGAGUAAAGUUAAUACCUUGGCUCAUUGACGUUACCCGCAGAAGAAGCACCGGCUAACUCCGUG